GCCCUUCAGAGGGGGACAACAGUUGGAAACGACUGCUAAUACCGCAUACGAUCUAAUCUCGGCAUCGAGGAUGGAUGAAAGGUGGCCUCUAUUUAUAAGCUAUCACUGAAGGAGGGGAUUGCGUCUGAUUAGCUAGUUGGAGGGGUAACGGCCCACCAAGGCGAUGAUCAGUAGCCGGUCUGAGAGGAUGAACGGCCACAUUGGGACUGAGACACGGCCCAG
rnacentral:rRNA from 1 species